rnacentral:misc_RNA from 1 species
GAAGGCCCCGUUGACAGGGCUGUAUCCGUUGCAAUGCACGUCCUCGGUCAUAAUUGGACGGCUACCGUUGAGGGGUCACGCGAAAGCGUGCUUGAACCCCGAAGAAACACGGAACCGCAAACUCCACCUCGUGGAAGCCUCGCGCUUUAGCGCGGGGAGGAUGUCAACCCCAGAAGUCA